GCUUGUCUCAAAGAUUAAGCCAUGCAUGUCUAAGUAUAAACAAAUCUAUACGUGAAACUGCGAAUGGCUCAUUAUAUCAGUUAUAGUUUAUUUGAUGGUCCUUACUACUUGGAUAACCGUAGUAAUUCUAGAGCUAAUACAUGACUCAAAGACCGACUUACGAAGGUCUGUGUUUAUUAGAUGGAAACCAAUGCGGGGCAACCCGGAUUCUGGUGAUUCAUAAUAACUUUCGGAUCGAUCCUCGGAUCGAUGCAUCAUUCAAGUUUCUGCCCUAUCAGCUUUGGAUGGUAGGGUAUUGGCCUACCAUGGCUUUAACGGGUAACGGAGAAUUAGGGUUCGAUUCCGGAGAGGGAGCCUGAGAAAUGGCUACCACAUCCAAGGAAGGCAGCAGG
rnacentral:rRNA from 1 species